CUCGUGGGAAGACCUCGUGUUGAACCCC
rnacentral:rRNA from 1 species